CUUCUCGGAGCCUCUCUCCCAGUUGCCAGCUACCAAUUGCUCAUGAUGCUGCGUCAUAAAUCCAGCAGUCCACGAAUACUGGCUUCUGAUGACUCUCAAAGGUGACUAUGCUUUGCAGAUGAGGACCUCAAAUGCAAGUCUUAGCCAGAGUAUGCAGGAAGGGGUUACCAAUGGUUUAACCUCUGUUCAUGUUAAAUUUACCAUUUGGAAUUAUGUAGAAUAAUAUAAAACCACACAUCUUCUACCUAUGUCUUCUCUUAAGCUCUUUAGGCUGUAAUCACUGUAUUUCUAGAAUGUGGUCUCUUUUCAUGUUGGCCAAGACCCCUAUGUACUGGGUUGAACAGUGUUUUCCCAAAACUCAUAUCCACCUGCAACCUGUGAAUAUGAACUUAUUUGGAAAUAUUUGGUCUUUAUAGAUGUAUCAAGUUAAGGUAAGGUUAUGCAGGAUGGGGGUGGCGUGCCUACAUCCAAACAGUGGUAUUCUUAUAAGGAGAAGAAAAUUUGGAAACACAGAGACACACAGGGGACAUGCCAUGUGAAGACAGAGGCAGCUAUUGGAGAGAUACGUCUACGCGCCAAGGAUCACCAAGGAUUGCUGGCAACCAACAGAAGCUGGAACAAAAGCAUGGAACAGAUUCUCACUCAGAGCCUCCAGAAGGAAUUGGUUCUGCUGACACCUUGAAUUUGAACUUUUGGCCUCCAGGAUUGUGAGAGAACAAAGCUUUGUUCUGUUUAGACACCAAGUGGGUAGUAAUUUGUUGUAGCAGCCCUAGAAAAUGAAUACACCCUGCUUUCUACAGACUCAAUGAGAAGGAUGGGCCAGGAGCCCAUGGGUAGAGUGAGAAGGAAUGUCCAUCCUUGGUCCAGCAUGGUAUAAGACUGACCUGGAAAAACACGCCAGCACCACAUCAUUUGGAGGCAAAAGAGGACACUGAAGAGAAAGACUCAUAGGCGUUGUGGAACAGUGGUCUCAAAAAUCAUCAGAGGAAAUAGCAAAUGCCACCCCCAGAGGACAGCCUGACCAGUGACAUAGAGUCUACUUAGGGUAUGGGUGACAGCCACAUGUUGGCAGAUGUCUUUGACAAACUUCUUGUCUUAAUUCACAUUUUAAAAUCAUUAAUGAGCCUGAUAUUUUUAAUAAGCUUUCUGACCAUUAAUAUUUCUUUUUUUUGUAAUUGCUUGCUUGUGCCCUUUGCCCAUUUUCUAAUGGGUUGUUCCUCUUUUUUCUUACUUACUUGUAAGAGCUCUUCACAUAGUGAGGAUAUUAACCCUAUAACUGUCACAUAUGUUACAACUAUUUUUACCAUUUUGCCAUUAGCUUUUAUAUUUUGUUCUUACUGAUGUCUCUAAUAUUC
rnacentral:lncRNA from 1 species